rnacentral:snRNA from 1 species
AUGUGACACAUACACGUAAAGUUGGAAUGACACAGAGAAGUUUAGCGUGGUCCUUGCUCCAAGAUGACACAGAAAUUUAUAGUGUUCCAUAUUUAA